UCCUCAGCGCGUGUUUCAUCACGAUAUUGGGGAAACUCACCCCCUUGAGCCGGGCGGUGCGGAUAUAUUGCGCGGUCAUCACCUCGGCCAUCGAGGCGCGGGUCAUCCGCGCGAUAUAGCCCAUCCCAUAGAGCGCGAUGGUCAGCACCGGAAGAAAGAAAUUCUCGAAGGUCGGGUUC
rfam:Roseovarius sp. A-2 DNA, contig: RA2_contig0019.